rnacentral:rRNA from 1 species
GAUGAACGCUGGCGGCGUGCCUAAUACAUGCAAGUCGAGCGAACAGACGAGGAGCUUGCUCCUCUGACGUUAGCAGCGGACGGGUGAGUAACACGUGGAUAACCUACCUCUAAGACUGGGAUCACUUCGGGAAACCGGAGCUAAUACCGGAUAAUAUAUUGAACGGCAUGGUUGAAUAGUGAAAGACGGUUUUGCUGUCACUUAUAGCUGGAUCCGCGCUGCAUUGGCAAGUUGGUAAGGUAACGGCUUACGAAGGCAACGAUGCGUAGCCGACCUGAGAGGGGGAUGCCCCCCUCUGGGACUGGGCCGCGGCCCUGACUCUGAGGGGAGGCCGCGGUAGGGACUCGUCCGAGCUGUGGGAAAGCCUGACGGAGCAGCGCCGGGUGAGUGCUGCGGGUCUGCGGGUCGUAAGACUCUGUUCUUGUUGAAGAACAAAUGUGUAAGUAACUAUGCUCGUUGUGACGGUACCUAAACAGAAAGCCACGGCUAACUACGUG